UGAGGGGGGCUGCUCCUAGUACGAGAGGACCGGAGUGGACGCAUCACUGGUGUUCGGGUUGUCAUGCCAAUGGCACUGCCCGGUAGCUAAAUGCGGAAGAGAUAAGUGCUGAAAGCAUCUAAGCACGAAACUUGCCCCGAGAUGAGUUCUCCCUGACUCCUUGAGAGUCCUGAAGGAACGUUGAAGACGACGACGUUGAUAGGCUGGGUGUGUAAGCGCAGCGAUGCGUUGAGCUAACCGGUACUAAUGAACCGUGAGGCUUAACCUUACAACGCCGAAG
rnacentral:rRNA from 1 species